rnacentral:tRNA from 2 species
CGGGUCGUUAGCUCAGUUGGUAGAGCAGUUGACUUUUAAUCAAUUGGUCGCAGGUUCGAAUCCUGCACGACCCACC